UACGAAGGGGGCUAGCGUUGCUCGGAAUUACUGGGCGUAAAGCGUGCGCAGGCGGUGAGCUGUGUCCGAUGUGAAAGCCCCCGGGCUUAACCUGGGAAUGGCAUUGGAAACUGGCUCGCUGGAGUGUGGCAGAGGGGGUGGAAUUCGCGUGUAGCAGUGAAAUGCGUAGAGAUGCGGAGGAACACCGAUGGCGAAGGCAGCCCCCUGGGCUAACACUGACGCUCAGGCACGAAAGCGUGGGGAGCAAACAGG
rnacentral:rRNA from 1 species